rnacentral:rRNA from 1 species
AUGGCGGAGCGGCUCGCGUCCUCGGCCUCCCUCCUCCCCAGCGCGGCCUCGCCUUCCUCGUCGACCCGCCGCGCCGCCGUCGCCUCCGGGCUCCGCCUCCGCCCGUCGCCCUCGCGCUUCUCACAGGCUGCGAGGAGAGUGCGCGGUGGCGCUGGCGCCGCCGGGGUGGUGCCACGGCUGCGGGUGGUGCGAUGCAUGGCGGCGUCGGAGGCCGCGCAGCUCAAGAGCGCGCGGGAGGACAUCAAGGAGAUCCUCAAAACCACCUACUGCCACCCUAUCCUGGUCCGUUUGGGAUGGCAUGAUUCAGGUACAUAUGACAAAAAUAUCGAGGAGUGGCCGCAGAGAGGCGGAGCCGACGGAAGCUUACGAUUUGAUCCUGAGUUGAGUCAUGGAGCCAAUGCUGGUCUUACUAAUGCUUUAAAGCUUAUUCAACCAAUCAAGGACAAAUACCCCGGUAUCACUUAUGCGGAUUUGUUCCAGUUGGCGAGUGCUACAGCAAUUGAGGAAGCCGGUGGCCCGAAACUCCCGAUGAAGUAUGGGCGGGUAGAUAUCACAGCACCCGAGCAAUGUCCACCUGAGGGGAGGCUUCCUGAUGCUGGCCCACGUUUACCUGCUGAACACCUUAGGGAGGUAUUCUAUAGGAUGGGCCUUGAUGACAUGGAAAUUGUUGCAUUGUCCGGAGCACAUACACUUGGAAGGUCGCGCCCUGACAGGAGUGGCUGGGGAAAGCCAGAAACAAAAUAUACAAAGGAUGGGCCUGGUGAACCUGGAGGGCAAUCAUGGACGGCUGAAUGGUUGAAGUUUGAUAAUAGUUACUUCAAGGACAUAAAAGAGCAAAGGGAUCAGGAGCUUCUAGUAUUGCCUACAGAUGCUGCGCUAUUUGAUGACCCAUCAUUCAAGGUAUACGCGGAGAAGUACGCAGAGGACCAGGAGGCAUUCUUCAAAGACUACGCCGAAGCCCAUGCUAAACUGAGCAACCUUGGUGCAAAGUUUGAUCCUCCUGAGGGAUUCUCGUUGGACGCUGACAAGGGUGCCGUGGCAACUGAAGAGAAGGCGGUUGCUGAUCCAGCACCAACAAGUGAUACCAAUGGCGCAGGACCACAGCCAGAGCCCUUCGUUGCCGCCAAAUACUCUUACAAGAAGAGAGAGCUAUCCGACACGAUGAAACAGAAGAUCAGAGCCGAGUACGAGGGCCUUGGAGGCAGCCCAAAUAAGCCUAUGAAGUCCAACUACUUCCUCAACAUUAUGAUCGUGAUCGCAGGAUUGGCAUUCUUGACGUCUUUGGCCGGGAACUAA